GCGGAUGUGGCGGAAUGGCAGACGCGCUAGCUUCAGGUGCUAGUGUUCGCAAGGACGUGGGGGUUCAAGUCCCCCCAUCCGCACCA
rnacentral:tRNA from 32 species